rnacentral:rRNA from 1 species
GCUGGCGGCAGGCCUAACACAUGCAAGUCGAACGCUCCGCAAGGGGAGUGGCGCACGGGUGAGUAACACGUGGGAACCUACCUUCUGGUACGGAACAACCAAGGGAAACUUUGGCUAAUACCGUAUACGACCUCCGGGUGAAAGAUUUAUCGCCGGAAGAGGGGCCCGCGUCCGAUUAGGUAGUUGGUGAGGUAACGGCUCACCAAGCCGACGAUCGGUAGCUGGUCUGAGAGGAUGACCAGCCACACUGGGACUGAGACACGGCCCAGACUCCUACGGGAGGCAGCAGUGGGGAAUAUUGGACAAUGGGCGCAAGCCUGAUCCAGCCAUGCCGCGUGAGUGAUGAAGGCCUUCGGGUUGUAAAGCUCUUUCACCCACGACGAUGAUGACGGUAGUGGGAGAAGAAGCCCCGGCUAACUUCGUGCCAGCAGCCGC